rnacentral:rRNA from 1 species
GACGAACGCUGGCGGCGUGCCUAAUACAUGCAAGUAGAACGCAGUUGCGAACGGGUGAGUAACGCGUAGGUAACUGCCUCAUAGCGGGGGAUAACUAUUGGAAACGAUAGCUAAUACCGCAUACUGUGAGAUGGACCUGCGUUGGAUUAGGUAGUUGGUGAGGUAAAGGCUCACCAAGGCGACGGUACAUAGCCGACCUGAGAGGGGGGACGGCCACACUGGGACCGGGACACCGGCCAAAAUCCUACGGGGGGCAGCAGUAGGGAAACAUCGGCAAUUGACGGAAGUCUGACCGAGCAACGCCGCGGGAGUGGAGAAGGGUUUCGGGUCGUAAAGCUCUGUUGUGAGAGGAGCGGUAACUAACCAGAAAGGGACGGCUAACUACGUGCCAGCAGCCGCGGUAAUAC